GUGGGUGCUGAGUUGCAGGUUGUCAACAAAAAAGAGACAGCUAUUUCACUUAAGGCAGAUGCAAUUGUUACUCUGACUCCUCAUCAAGGCCAAGAAGCAUCUUCUGAACUUCUGCCAAUUAACUUUGCCGGAUUAGCCAAGGUCCAGCCCACAUCUGUUGUCCUUGAUUUUCCACUUUCAGACUCCUAUAGAACUUUCAUAGUAAAACCCUGAUGUAUUUAGAGGAACCAAAAGGGGAGCAGUUAUUUGCUAAUUGCCAAUUAACUUUGGAGGAUUAGCCAAGGUCCAGCCCACAUCUAUUGUCUUUGAUUUUCCACUUUCAGACACCUAUAGCACUUUCAUAGUAAAACCCUGAUGUUUUGGAGGAACCAAAAGGGGAGCAGUUAUUUGCUAAUGCAUUGUAAAACUUAGUGGAGAGAACAAGAUGAUAGACAUUGUGAUAAUUAUUUGUAUUUAUUUAAACCCAUCGUACUAAGAUAUUCUGUUAAUUU
rnacentral:lncRNA from 1 species